UACCCGCAGCACAAGUGGUGGUCAUUAUUAUUGGGCCUAAAGCGUCCGUAGCUGGCCUGUUAGAUGCCUGGGUAAAUCGAUGCGCUUAACGUAUCGAACUCCGGGUAGACCGGCAGGCUCGAGACCGGGAGAGGCAUGGGCUACUCGCGGGGUAGGGGUAAAAUCCUGUAAUCCUGCGGGGAGGACCAGUGGCGAAGGCGCCAUGCUAGAACGGCUCUGACAGUGAGGGACGAAGCCCUGGGGCGCAAACCGG
rnacentral:rRNA from 1 species